rnacentral:lncRNA from 1 species
AGAUAAGAUAACUCAUAUUGGAGAGAAAUCUUACAAGUGUGAAUAAUGUGGUAAAGUCUAUAAAAAGUCCUGAAUUCUUAACAGACAUAAUAUUAUUCAUACUGGAGAGAAACUCUACAAACCUGAAAGAUGUGCCAACGCUUUUGACAAGUCAAACUUUUCUAAACAUCAAGAAAAUCAUGCUGCUGAGAAAUCCUAGAAAUGUGAAGAAUGUGACAAAGCCUCUAAAUGAUUGUCACACUUGAUCGUAGGUAAGAUAAUUCAUACUGGAGAAAACUACCAGUGUGAACAAUGUGGCCAAGCUUUGAACUAAUGCUCACACCUUAAUGCAUAGGAAAGCAUUUAUGCUUGAGAAAAAGUGAACAAAUAUAGACAAAAAGCCAUUAAUACCUGCUCACAUCGUACUCAAAUUCAGAGCGUUCAUACUAAAUAAGAAGUGUAAUUACUGUCAAACGACUGAUCAGAAAAUAUGUCUUUAAAGUACAGAAGAGUAUUUUGAAAAAGCAUUACAAAUAUGAAGAGGCAUUAUUUAUGACCUUUUCUAUGGAAAGACGGAGUCUUGCUCCAUCGCCAGGCUGGAGUGCAGUGGCGCGAUCUCGUCCCACUGCUCACUGCAACCUCUGCCUCCCCUAUUGAAGUGAUUCUCCUGUCUCAGCCUCCUGAGUAGCUGGGACUACAGGCACACACCACCACGCUCAGCUAAUUUUUGUAUUUUCAGAAGAGACGGGGU